GACAGAGGUGCCGAGCGUUAGGCGGAAUCACUGGGCUUAAAGCGUGUGUAGGCGGGUCCGUAAGUACCUUGUGAAAUCCCAUGGCUCAACCAUGGAACUGCUUGGUAUACUGCGGAUCUUGAGCCGCCUAGGGGCAAGUGGAACAAACGGUGGGGCGGUGAAAUGCGUAGAGUAUCGUUUGGAACGCCAAUGGUGAAAACAACUUGCUGGGGGUGUGCUGACGCUGAGACACGAAGCCAGGGGAGCAAACGGG
rnacentral:rRNA from 1 species